rnacentral:rRNA from 1 species
UACGAAGGGGGCUAGCGUUGCUCGGAAUCACUGGGCGUAAAGGGUGCGUAGGCGGGUCUUUAAGUCAGGGGUGAAAUCCUGGAGCUCAACUCCAGAACUGCCUUUGAUACUGAGGAUCUUGAGUUCGGGAGAGGUGAGUGGAACUGCGAGUGUAGAGGUGAAAUUCGUAGAUAUUCGCAAGAACACCAGUGGCGAAGGCGGCUCACUGGCCCGAUACUGACACUGAGGUGCGAAAGCUAGGGUAGCAAACGGG